AGAGUUUGAUCCUGGCUCAGGACGAACGCUGGCGGCGUGCCUAAUACAUGCAAGUCGAACGAGGACCAAGGAGCUUGCUCCUUGUAGCCGAGUGGCGAACGGGUGAGUAACACGUGACCAACCUGUCCUAGGGUGAGGGACAACCUGGGGAAACCCGGGCUAAUACCACAUGACGUCUCGUCAUCGCAUGGUGGUGAGAUCAAAGAGGGCCUCUGCUUGCAAGCUCUCGCCCAAGGAGGGGGUCGCGACGUAUCAGCUAGUUGGUGGGGUAAUGGCCUACCAAGGCUACGACGCGUAGCGGGUCUGAGAGGACGACCCGUCACAUUGGGACUGAGAUACGGCCCAGACUCCUACGGGAGGCAGCAGUAGGGAAUAUUGCGCAAUGCGCGAAAGCGUGACGGAGCAAUGCCGCGUGAAGGAUGAAGCACCUCGGUGUGUAAACUUCUGUCAGGGUUUAGGAAUCCAUGACCAGACCCAAAGGAAGAACCGGCUAACUCUGUGCCAGCAGCCGCGGUAAUACAGAGGGUUCGAGCGUUAAUCGGAAUCACUGGGCUUAAAGGGUGCGCAGGCGGACCCGUCAGUGUCUUGUGAAAUCCCACGGCUUAACCGUGGAACUGCAGGGCAUACUGCGGGUCUUGAACCCGGCAGGGGCAAUCGGAACUCUAGGUGGAGCGGUGAAAUGCGUAGAUAUCUAGAGGAACGCCAAAGGCGAAGGCAGAUUGCUGGGCCGGUGUUGACGCUCAGGCACGAAAGCGUGGGUAGCGAACGGGAUUAGAUACCCCGGUAGUCCACGCCCUAAACGAUGUGUACUAGAUCGAGGAAGUUUUGACGCUAUCUCGGUCGGAGCAAAAGUAUUAAGUACACCGCCUGGGGAGUACGGUCGCAAGGCUAAAACUCAAAGGAAUUGACGG
rnacentral:rRNA from 1 species